UUGAACGCUGGCGGCAGGCCUAACACAUGCAAGUCGAGCGGCAGCGCGGGGCAACCUGGCGGCGAGCGGCGGACGGGUGAGUAACGCGUAGGAAUCUACCCAGUAGCGGGGGAUAGCCCGGGGAAACUCGGAUUAAUACCGCAUACGCCCUAAGGGGGAAAGCGGGGUCGCAAGACCUCGCACGAUUGGAAGAGCCUGCGUUGGAUUAGCUAGUUGGUAGGGUAAAGGCCUACCAAGGCAACGAUCCAUAACUGGUCUGAGAGGAUGAUCAGGCACACCGGAACUGAGACACGGUCCGGACUCCUACGGGAGGCAGCAGUGGGGAAUAUUGGACAAUGGGGGCAACCCUGAUCCAGCCAUGCCGCGUGUGUGAAGAAGGCCUUCGGGUUGUAAAGCACUUUAAGUGGGGAGAAAGGUUCGUCGGUUAAUACCCGGCGGAAUUGAUGUUACCCACAGAAUAAGCACCGGCUAACUCUGUGCCAGCCGCCGCGGUAA
rnacentral:rRNA from 1 species